rnacentral:rRNA from 1 species
UACGUAGGGGGCAAGCGUUGUCCGGAUUUACUGGGCGUAAAGGGCUCGUAGGCGGCCAACUAAGUCGGACGUGAAAUCCCUCAGCUUAACUGGGGAACUGCGUCCGAUACUGGAUGGCUUGGAUUUGGGAGAGGGAUGCGGAAUUCCAGGUGUAGCGGUGAAAUGCGUAGAUAUCUGGAGGAACACCGGUGGCGAAGGCGGCAUCCUGGACCAAUAUUGACGCUGAGGAGCGAAAGCUAGGGGAGCAAACGGG